UACGUAGGGGGCGAGCGUUAUCCGGAAUUAUUGGGCGUAAAGAGUGCGUAGGUGGUCUUGUAAGCGUGGGGUGAAAGGCAGUGGCUUAACCAUUGUUAGCCUUGCGAACUGUGAGACUUGAGUGCAGGAGAGGAAAGUGGAAUUCCUAGUGUAGCGGUGAAAUGCGUAGAUAUUAGGAGGAACACCAGUGGCGAAGGCGACUUUCUGGACUGUAACUGACACUGAGGCACGAAAGCGUGGGGAGCAAACAGGAUUAGAUACCCGGGUAGUCCCU
rnacentral:rRNA from 1 species